UUUACCACAGGGUUACAGAUGUAUUAAUGACAGAGGUUUACCACAGGGUUACAGAUGUAUUAAUGACAGAGGUUUACCACAGGGUUACAGAUGUAUUAAUGACAGAGGUUUACCACAGGGUUACAGAUGUAUUAAUGACAGAGGUUUACCACAGGGUUACAGAUGUAUUAAUGACAGAGGUUUACCACAGGGUUACAGAUGUAUUAAUGACAGAGGUUUACCACAGGGUUACAGAUGUAUUAAUGACAGAGGUUUACCACAGGGUUACAGAUGUAUUAAUGACAGAGGUUUACCACAGGGUUACAGAUGUAUUAAUGACAGAGGUUUACCACAGGGUUACAGAUGUAUUAAUGACAGAGGUUUACCACAGGGUUACAGAUGUAUUAAUGACAGAGGUUUACCACAGG